rnacentral:rRNA from 1 species
AGAGUUUGAUCCUGGCUCAGAAUCAACGCUGGCGGCGUGCCUAACACAUGCAAGUCGAACGCGAAAGCCCCGCAAGGGGCCAGUAGAGUGGCAAACGGGUGAGUAACACGUGGGUGACCUGCCUUCGAGCGGGGGAUAACGUCCCGAAAGGGACGCUAAUACCGCAUGACAUCCUGCCUUUGAAGAGGUGGAGAUCAAAGCUGGGGAUCGCAAGACCUAGCACUCGAUGAGGGGCCCGCGCCUGAUUAGCUAGUUGGUGGGGUAAUGGCUCACCAAGGCAACGAUCAGUAUCCGGCCUGAGAGGGCGGACGGACACACUGGGACUGAGACACGGCCCAGACUCCUACGGGAGGCAGCAGUGGGGAAUUGUUCGCAAUGGGCGCAAGCCUGACGACGCAACGCCGCGUGGAGGAUGAAGACCUUCGGGUCGUAAACUCCUUUCGAUCGAGACGAAUGGCCUUCGGGUGAACAAUCCGGAGGAGUGACGGUACCGAGAGAAGAAGCCCGGCUAACUUCGUGCCAGCAGCCGCGGUA